UACGAAGGGGGCUAGCGUUGCUCGGAAUCACUGGGCGUAAAGCGCACGUAGGCGGAUUGCUAAGUCAGGGUGAAAUCCUGGAGCUCAACUCCAGAACUGCCUUUGAUACUGGCACCUUGAGUCCGGGAGAGGUGAGUGGAACUGCGAGUGUAGAGGUGAAAUUCGUAGAUAUUCGCAAGAACACCAGUGGCGAAGGCGGCUCACUGCCCGAUACUGACGCUGAGGCACGAAAGCGUGGGAGCA
rnacentral:rRNA from 1 species